CAUCAGGAUGACAUAAGAGGGUCCCAGAGAACAGACACUUCCUUCCAUGCUUAGCAAGUGAACAAGAGAUGACAUGAAAGUUGUUCAGGGAAAAAAGCCAAACAAACAAGCAAAAACAAAAUGACAGAAAAAGAAAUAAAUUAGUGAAAAUCACACAGAAACAAUGGGAGUUUGCAGAAAAAAAUAUCUAUGAAUACAAAGAAUAAGCUAAAGGCAUAGAGGCUGGAAAUGCAGAAAUGGGCUAUACCAAGGAAAGGAACAGAAAACCUAAAUUCCUUCAAACAUAAAAGGAGAAAAGCAGAGUAUAACAGAAUUGGAAUGACAAAAAUGCUGAAAAAUAUUCUGAAAGACACAAGAAAAACAUAGACAUAAAAGAACACUGCCCUAAGAUAAAGAGAGAAACAAGAGCCCAGUUUCAGGAUCCACUGUAGCCCUCUGCAGCAGCUGCACGUAGGUGAGGUUCUCGUGUGUGUUGGGGUCGAAGAAGCCCUUGGUGUCGUCGCCCGGGUCCGCCAGGACGCGGCUCAUCUCGUGGUCGAAGUAGCCGCGCUGGUAGGCCACGUCCACGGGCACUCGGUGGCUGUGCACGGGGUCGAUGACGCCGCCCGUGGCGAUCUGGGCCUCCAGCAGCCGGAUGCCGUGGUCGCGCACGAUGAGGUCCCUCUGCAUGGCCUGGAAGAGCGAGAUCUGCUCCCCGGAGUAGGGGUCGGUGUAGCCGGUGACCGCGCGCUCAGCGGACAGCAGCUUCUCCCGGAUCUCACCGCCCACCACGCCCUCGGCCACGGCUUCCUCCACGGACAGCUUCCGGUUGUGCACGGGGUCGAUGACGAAGCCGGUGGCCGCCUGUGCCUCCAGGAGCACCAGGGCCGUGCCGGGCCGCAGCAGCCCCUUCCACAUGGCCUGGUAGAUGCUCAUCUUCUCCUGGCGGCCGGGCUGGCCCUUGGUGGGCACCAGGACCCCCGCGAUGCAGCUG
rnacentral:lncRNA from 1 species